CUUCAACGACCCCAACCACAAAGGACGAUCUGAAUCCCGGUCUUGGCCAUAGGUAGCCAACAGCGCCUGGGCUUC
rnacentral:antisense_RNA from 1 species